AUGAGGGUUGAGGUGCAGGUUCUGUCACUUAUUUCUCAGGCCCCCAGUCCUUUCUUCAUGGGCUGGGGACCUUUCAAGUCUUCCACUUGGUGUUGGAGACAACCAAAUGAAGAUGGCAAGUGUGAACGGGCUUUGUAAUGUAUCAGUCACCAUAUGGAAGUGAAUUACCAUUCAUGAUUACUAAGUAUGUAUUAAAACAGAGACACAUGAUACACACAACAGGAGUUCAACUAGAAACACAAAAUGGAGCCAGAACUGUGACUACUUCUGCUAUAGUAUUAAGGAGAAAGACCGGAAGCAGGCACUUGACAGAAUUCAACAGCUAUACUGACAAACCUCUUAGUAACCCAGGAACCGAAGAAAGUCAACAAAGGCGGCACCAAGCCCAUCGGGUACACUGUACUGAAGUGGGUGCAUGGCAUUAAGAGCAAAGGACGAGAUGCCUACUAAUGCUGCAGUUCAUCAUCAUACUGAAGAUACUGCCCAAUGUGAUAAGGCAAGACAAAUAAAACAAAGAUAAAUAUUACAAAGAAA